rnacentral:rRNA from 1 species
GACGAACGCUGGCGGCGUGCUUAACACAUGCAAGUCGAACGGAAAGGCCCUGCUUUUGUGGGGUGCUCGAGUGGCGAACGGGUGAGUAACACGUGAGUAACCUGCCCUUGACUUUGGGAUAACUCCAGGAAACUGGGGCUAAUACCGGAUAGGAGCUCCUGCUGCAUGGUGGGGGUUGGAGAGUUUCGGUGGUUGGGGAUGGACUCGCGGCUUAUCAGCUUGUUGGUGGGGUAGUGGCUUACCAAGGCUUUGACGGGUAGCCGGCCUGAGAGGGUGACCGGCCACAUUGGGACUGAGAGACGGCCCAGACUCCUACGGGAGGCAGCAGUGGGGAAUAUUGCACAAUGGGCGGAAGCCUGAUGCAGCGACGCCGCGUGCGGGAUGACGGCCUUCGGGUUGUAAACCGCUUUCGCCUGUGACGAAGCGUGAGUGACGGUAAUGGGUAAAGAAGCACCGGCUAACUACGUG